rnacentral:rRNA from 1 species
AACGCGAAGAACCUUACCUGGGUUUGACAUCCCUUGACCCUCUCAGAGAUGAGAGUUUUGUAGCAAUACAACAAGGUGACAGGUGCUGCAUGGCUGUCGUCAGCUCGUGUGGUGACAUGUUGGGUUAAGUCCCGCAACGAGCGCAACCCUUGUCUUUAGUUGCCAUCAUUCAGUUGGGCUCUCUAAAGAGACUGCCGUAGGUUAACACGGAGGAAGGUGGGGAUGACGUCAAGUCCUCAUGGCCUUUAUAUCCAGGGCGACACACGUGAUACAAUGGACGGUACAAAGGGACGCCAAGAGGCAACUCGGAGCUAAUCUACAAAAAGCCGUUCUCAGUUCGGAUUGGAGUCUGCAACUCGACUCCAUGAAGUUGGAAUCGCUAGUAAUCGCGGAUCAGCACGCCGCGGUGAAUACGUUCCCGGGCCUUGUACACACCGGAGUA